AGGAACUAGUUUAACAUGAUUAUUUCCAAUUGAGUUAGUUGAUCUAUUGUAAGGAAGGGUUGUUGAUCCCAAAUAACCCACCUGAGUAUGAGCAUCAGAAGCCAUAAAGUUGUGUUUUUUCCAUAGUAUUGUUCUUAGUAGCGCGCGUCCCUUCUUUGGUUAGUUGUCCUACAGGGAUUCUUACUAGACACUACAUUUGAGUCCCAAGUUAUAUGCUAGACUCGGGAGCCAUCAACGACAUUUAAUGCAUCUAGUAAUGUUCAGCGUUGGGAGAGUUGUCGACGCCUGUUUAGUUGGGUUCUAACUAAUCUGGUCACUUUUGGACGGUGCUGGGAAAGAAAUAUGACUAGAUAAAUGCUUUUCUUCAAUUUCAUCUGGUCUGGUUUUUGUAUGGUUCCUUUUCUAAUGAUUUAAUCGAAUGUUAAGAUGCCACGCUGUUGUGUAGAGAUUGGGUUCUCAUCUAAUCUAAUAGAAAUGCCUUUGUGAGACUCCCAUGGUGUUCUGCUCUCUUUUAUCUCUAGUUAUUGUGUCGACUGUUCUUCUUCAUGGAAUCAACUGAGUUCAUGCUUCAUUCCUUUGAAAGCUUCUGAACAGCCCCUUCUCAGGUCUGGUUUAGAUGUGGGUUUUCACUUAUCCUGUUAGAUUUUCAUGUAAACAGGUGCUGGAUUUUAAAUUCUCUUAAAGCUUUCUUUAUGAAUUUGAACAUAUUUCCUUCUGUAUUAUCUGGAUUGCUUUUUUUUUUUUUUCUUUUGAAAGGACUGUUGAGCUAGCCUUUCGAUCAUCUACUGUCUAGAUUGGUUUCUGGUUUCAUCCCUUUUCAUUUCCUUUCAAAUAGGUGCUUGAUUGUAUUGUUUGCUUCUGUAUUGCAAUAUGAGUUUAGAAUUAAGGGCUUACUGUUUUUUUGUUUUCUCAUCUUUAGUUGAGGUCUAUGGUUGUGGGUUCUUACUCCUGUACUUUGCUUGCGCUGGAAAGCCUUCUCAGAUUUGGUUCAUGGCAGGUGCAAUACAAAUCGUGGGCUUCAUGGGAGCAUUUGCAGCAUAUAAAUUAGUCCCAAUUGUUCCGUCGCUUGCUUUGCACUUAUCCUUUUUCUUUUUUUUUUUUAAUUUUCUUAGCCUAUUUUAUAUUUUUUUUUGUUAUAAGUAUGUGAAUUUCGAUUCUUAUGUGAUAGAAAUUAAUUUGCCAAUGCAGUUCAGUUUAUUUGUUUAUAGUUUUGAUUUUGUAGUCCUAUUUCAUUUGCUUAAAAACGUUUCCUAGAAUUAGUAAACAAAUGUAAUUUUAUUUAUACAAGUUGUGCAGCAAGUGCAUUUCUUAGAGGAAUGAGAUGAGUUUAAUCAAGAGAUGAUUAAAAAUGAUGAGCAUGGUUUGACCUGAAGGAUUCUGUUGAAUAUGUUUUCUGUUGUUGCAACCUUUUCCAGGUUUGUCUU